UCAGGUGCUCCCUACUUUCCGUGA
rnacentral:misc_RNA from 1 species